CCCUUAGAUGUUCUGGGCCGCACGCGCGCUACACUGACUGACUCAACGAGUUUACAACCUGUGCCGAAAGGUAUGGGUAAUCUUUUGAAAUUCAGUCGUGAUGGGGCUAGAUUAUUGCAAUUAUUAAUCUUCAACGAGGAAUGCCUAGUAAGCGCAAGUCAUCAGCUUGCGUUGAUUACGUCCCUGCCCUUUGUACACACCGCCCGUCGCUCCUACCGAUUGAAUGGUCCGGUGAAGCGUUCGGACCGUGGCCUUUGGACGGUUCGCCGUCUGUUGGCUGCGGGAAGUUCGUUAAACCUUAUCAUUUAGAGGAAGGAGAAGUCGUAACA
rnacentral:rRNA from 1 species